rnacentral:rRNA from 1 species
CCUACGGGAGGCAGCAGUGGGGAAUAUUGCACAAUGGGGGAAACCCUGAUGCAGCAACGCCGCGUGAGUGAAGAAGUAUUUCGGUAUGUAAAGCUCUAUCAGCAGGGAAGAAGAAAGACGGUACCUGACUAAGAAGCCCCGGCUAACUACGUGCCAGCAGCCGCGGUAAUACGUAGGGGGCGAGCGUUAUCCGGAUUCACUGGGUGUAAAGGGAGCGUAGACGGCCAUGCAAGCCAGGGGUGAAAGCCCGGGGCCCAACCCCGGGACUGCCCUUGGAACUGCAUGGCUGGAGUGCGGGAGGGGCG